rnacentral:rRNA from 1 species
AUUGAACGCUGGCGGCAUGCCUUACACAUGCAAGUCGAACGGUAACAGGUUAAGCUGACGAGUGGCGAACGGGUGAGUAAUGUAUCGGAACGUGCCCAGUCGUGGGGGAUAACUGCUCGAAAGAGCAGCUAAUACCGCAUACGACCUGAGGGUGAAAGCGGGGGAUCGCAAGACCUCGCGCGAUUGGAGCGGCCGAUAUCAGAUUAAGUAGUUGGUGGGGUAAAGGCCUACCAAGCCUACGAUCUGUAGCUGGUCUGAGAGGACGACCAGCCACACUGGGACUGAGACACGGGCCAGACUCCUACGGGAGGCAGCAAUGGGGAAUUUUGGACAAUGGACGCAAGUCUGAUCCAGCCAUGCCGCGUGCGGGAAGAAGGCCUUCGGGUUGUAAACCGCUUUUGUCAGGGAAGAAAAGGUUCUGGCUAAUACCUGGGACUCAUGACGGUACCUGAAGAAUAAGCACCGGCUAACUACGUGCCAGCCGCCGCAGUAAAAC